GGCUUCUCCCAAGACCUUCAAGGACCCAGCUGUAAAGGAGGAUGGAACUGAUGUCUAAGAAUGGGACAGCGAUAUUGCAUCAUUUGGUCUCCUACUUCAUUUGAUUCCACCAUCAUCAAGACUGCAAGGGACCUGGAAAAAUGUCAUCCUGUCAAUUUGAAAAACAUCUUCAAAAAGGGACCAACAAGAAGAAGACCUGUAAAUAGUGUAAUUUUUCUACACUAUAAGGUGCUAUAUUAACACUAAAAAUUCAACACUACGAAUGGUGUACUUUUAACACUAGACAGAUUGGGACCAUAUAUGAUCUUUAGUAGUGUUAACAUCGACACUUUAAGUGUUGAAUUGACACUGCGUUUUUGUUUAACCUCAGCUAAGCCUGCAAUUGUUGCUGCAAUAGACAUGUUUGGUUGUGAAAUUCAUGUUGAUUACUGAAUAGAUCAUAAUAAAUAAAUAUGUUCACAAUUAUAUUUAUUGUGACACUGAAUUAUUAUUUUUAACUCAUGAAAAUUAUUCAGAUACAAAAAGAAUGAGACACACACAGUGGUUUGUUUUACAUUUCAUUCUUCUUCCCAGUUUAUUGGUCAGAUACACAGUUUAUACUCUUCUUGUUAUGCAUAUUCACUGAUUUUGAUGUACUCCCAGAAUUGAUUGGAUUAACAAAUGAGCAGAUUAUCAUUAGACCACCUUCUUCAGUUUAUAAUUUUAUAUGGUUUUAUCUCUUUUCAAGACCAAAUGUAUCUGUCAACUGAUAAAAACACAGCAAACUCUGUGCAAUUGUGCAUUUUCACAGAAAUUGUACGAAGUAUGGACUUUACUUUCAUUAAAAAUGCAGGCUCAUUUUGUAAAUGUAAGUUAUUGAAAUUAUAGAGAAGCGCAAACUGGGUGCUUAAUGCAAAUGUAAUUGGCCACAUUUACAAAAUAAAGUGAUUAUGUUCGCUUGUCAAUGCAAAUGUCUCUUUAUGUAUAGACAAUAGAAUGAGGUUAAUCGCUGUCUGUCAGUUUAUAGUUAUUGUGUGCAUUUACAAAGACACUUAUGAAUG